AGCAAUAAAACCCGUGUGAUAAAAAGUGAAAAGACAAAGUGAAUACACCCACACAUGUAUUUCUAACAAUUCAUAUCUUGAUUAUUUCGAAAAAUGUUUACAAUCAAAAUUAUUGUGAUGUAUCAAAUUUUAUCAAAUAUUUGUUAAUGAUACUUUUUAAAUUUUAGAUACGAAUUUUUUUCAUUCAUUCCAUACAUAAAAAAUUCAGGUUGAUAGGCAUUAGAAAGAAUUAAUCGAUAGGUUUAACGUUAAGAAAAUUCAUAGAAGAGCUUAAAAAUUCCAUUCCUUUUUUUUUUAAAUAUAAUAAAUAAAAAUCUUCUCUUACAUGUAUUAUGUAUUACCUGCGAAUUCAUAUUAUUCUGUCUUGCGCAUCGAUGAGAAACAUAAUUAGGUAUUAAAUACGCAAUUGAUAUUUUAGUAUGGAGCUGUUUCGAAGCAAGGUGGCAGACCUAUUUUGGAUCCUCUCCAAGGGCAGUCGCGUCUACUCGUCGUUGCAUUUACAAAUUGUUACUUUGUUGCACGUGAUUUCUUCUUCGUACGUCUUAACUACGGUGACCUGGAAUUUUGAGAAACUUAUGAUUUUCCGAGCCCGUUUACGAGGAAACGAUUAUCGUUUGAUCGGUAAUAAAUAUAGAAGAAAGUUAAAGGAAGCAGCUGUAAAAGUGACACCAGGAGAAAAAAGAAAACAGAGGUAAGCGACCUAACAUCGACGCAGAUUAUUAUUGGUCAAUUGGAUAACAAUAGAGCCCAUACCAAUCGUCGAUAUUUUUUAGCAUAUUCGAUCGAAUUCCUUCGUUUUAACGGAGAUAUUCUGCGAUUCAUGGAAAUAGCUAGGAAUGGAAAAAUGUUUACAAGGUAAAUCAAUUUUAUCUACACAUCUAAUCGUUAUGAUAGUUGGAUGUACCUAAUCAUAACAUCUUUGGAUCAGGAUUUAUUAUUUCAGUCAGUAUCUUCAAUGAUCAAGAACGAUCUUCUAUUUUUGUUAUAAUAAAUUCGUGAAUGUUAAAAUCAUGAA